GACGAACGCUGGCGGCGUGCUUAACACAUGCAAGUCGAACGGAAAGGCCCUGCUUUUGUGGGGUGCUCGAGUGGCGAACGGGUGAGUAACACGUGAGUAACCUGCCCUUGACUUUGGGAUAACUUCAGGAAACUGGGGCUAAUACCGGAUAGGAGCUCCUGCUGCAUGGUGGGGGUUGGAAAGUUUCGGCGGUUGGGGAUGGACUCGCGGCUUAUCAGCUUGUUGGUGGGGUAGUGGCUUACCAAGGCUUUGACGGGUAGCCUGCCUGAGAGGGUGACCGGCCACAUUGGGACUGAGAUACGGCACAGACUCCUACGGGAGGCAGCAGUGGAGAAUAUUGCACAGUGGGCGGGAGCCUGAUGCAGCAACGCCGCGUGCGGGAUGACGGCCUUCGGGUUGUAAACCGCUUUCGCCUGUGACGAAGCGUGAGUGACGGUAAUGGGUAAAGAAGCACCGGCUAACUACGUG
rnacentral:rRNA from 1 species